UCAUGAUGUGAUAUUGGAUAGCUCAAAUUUGAUAUCAAGGAUAUCAAUUAACACAAAAGAGGAAUCCAGCAGGUCUCGACUCGAACAGGAAAGUAAGUUCCAAUAUCUUAAACGGGAACAUCCAGAAUAGGGAAGUAAUUUCAUUCCUGAUGACUUUUCUAAUUGAGAUUAUUUUAAAAGAUGGCCCAAGUUUGUCUAAGCCAGAAAGCUUAAGGCCUAAGUACGAUUAAUGAGUUUGAAGAAUUGUAAGAAAGCCCACGCCUGAGGGAGAGGCCCACACGUGCACCGGAUAUGUGGCCCAAUGUGAACAACCCACGAACAUGCAUGAGGGCCUGUAAGGACUGCGCAUUCGAGCGCCUGGGAGCG
rnacentral:lncRNA from 1 species